UACGUAGGGUGCAAGCGUUAAUCGGAAUUACUGGGCGUAAAGCGUGCGCAGGCGGCUUUGCAAGACAGAUGUCGAAAUCCCCGGGCUUAACCUGGGAACUGCAUUUGUGACUGCAUGGCUGGAGUGCGGCAGAGGGGGAUGGAAUUCCGCGUGUAGCAGUGAAAUGCGUAGAUAUGCGGAGGAACACCGAUGGCGAAGGCAAUCCCCUGGGCCUGCACUGACGCUCAUGCACGAAAGCGUGGGGAGCAAACAGG
rnacentral:rRNA from 1 species